UUUACAUUCUUCUUCUUUUAGGGUUUUCACAUCGCUAUAAAUCCGCACGCUGGGCCGCUGGAUUUCCCUUGCAACGGGUCUUGCCUCUUCAAUGGCGAUCUCUAAAACCCUAAACACGCCGUUCUAUCGGCCUUCUUCAUUUUCCUCUCUCUUGCCUUGUUGCUGCAAUGUUAACUGCAGCAAUAGGAGCAGUCGCUUUGGUGAAUGAGGGCCGUAGCAGGUGUUUCAAUAGUGUUUUGGGAUUCUCUGAACAAGGAAUCUGAUUUACACGUGCACCAGCUUUGUCAUGGCAGAAAUGGAGUCUAGAGUAGCAGGAAAUGUUGCAAAGCUGGUUUUCGUUAGUCUCUCGGCGGGCAAGGCGCAGGCAUGCGGCUUUUGUUCUUCCAGCAGUUGACCCAACUCAGCUUGCAUACUUUACAACAACAAAUUCCAUAGCUUGCUCGAUCAAAUUGCAUCUGCAAUUCCGUUCAUAAUUUUUAAACAAGCCUCAAUUGUUUUUUACGCAUGUAUAGAAAGAAAGAAUGCGUCAUUUAAGUGGGAAUAUACCCACAAUAACCCCAUGUGAAUCUGAAUAAUAUUGAAGAUUGAUUUUACACGAGAAAUUUUAAUGCA